UACGUAGGUGACAAGCGUUGUCCGGAUUGACUGGGCGUAAAGCGCACGCAGGCGGAUGCGCGCGUGGGGUGUGAAAUCUGGCCGCUUAACGGCCAGGCGCCAUCCCAUACGGCGCGUCUGGAGUGAUGCAGAGGUCGGUGGAAUUGCCGGUGUAGUGGUGAAAUGCGUAGAGAUCGGCAGGAACACCCAGGGGGAAACCAGCCGACUGGGCAUCUACUGACGCUGAGGUGCGAGAGCGUGGGGAGCGAACCGG
rnacentral:rRNA from 1 species